rnacentral:rRNA from 1 species
UUAAAUUGAAGGGUUUGAUCAUGGCUCAGAUUGAACGCUGGCGGCAGGCCUAACACAUGCAAGUCGAACGGUAACAGGAAGCAGCUUGCUG